GAGGCUACGGCGAGAGCUGCAAAGAGAGAUCACUGCCCGCCAGGAGAAGGAAGAGCUGGUGCAGACUUUGAGAGCGGAGCUGGAGGAGCUGAAGCAGAAGAAAGCUGGAGAAAUCCAGGCCUCACUAGGGCAAGCUGACGCUGAGCUAGCUCUGGUGCGGGAAGAGCUCCAGAAAGUCUGGCACAUGCUGAAAACGCGG